CCUACGGGUGGCAGCAGUGAGGAAUAUUGGUCAAUGGGCGCAAGCCUGAACCAGCCAAGCCGCGUGCAGGAUGACGGCCCUAUGGGUUGUAAACUUCUUUUAUAUGGGAGUAAAGUGCAAUAUGUAUACUGCGUUGCAUGUACCUUACGAAUAAGGAUCGGCUAACUCCGUGCCAGCAGCCGCGGUAAUACGGAGGAUCCGAGCGUUAUCCGGAUUUAUUGGGUUUAAAGGGAGCGUAGGCGGUUUGUUAAGUCAGAUGUGAAAGUCCGCGGCUCAACCGCGGAACUGCCUUUGAUACUGUCAGCCUUGAGUUCAGUAGAGGUAGGCGGAAUUCGUGGUGUAGCGGUGAAAUGCAUAGAUAUCAUGCAGAACACCGAUUGCGAAGGCAGCUUACUAAACUGCGACUGACGUUGAGGCACGAAAGCGUGGGUAGCAAACAGGAUUAGAUACCCGUGUAGUC
rnacentral:rRNA from 1 species